UACGGAGGGUGCAAGCGUUAAUCGGAAUUACUGGGCGUAAAGCGCGCGUAGGUGGUUUGAUAAGCAAGAUGUGAAAGCCCCGGGCUUAACCUGGGAACGGCAUUUCGAACUGUCAGGCUUAGAGUAUGGUAGAGGAGUGUGGGAAUUUCCUGUGUAGACGGUGUAAAUGCGUCAGAUAUAGGAAGGAACACCAGUGGCGAAGGCGGCACUCUGGACCAAUACUGACACUGAGGUGCGAAAAGCGAUGGGGAG
rnacentral:rRNA from 1 species